UACAAUUGUCCAAGCCUGUAAGCCUAUGUCAAGUAGUCGAGUUCCGAUGACUGACCGAUGAUGGUGAUGGAAUAUUCACAGUUAUUUACAUAUGGGUGGUGUCUUUGAAAAGAUCUAAAGCUAUUUCCACACGGAAGGUCUAUUAGAGGAUUUCACUGAAAUAAAUAUCUAAACCACUCCUGCUUCAUGUCCUGUGAUAUUAUGGACACAACCUCCCGUUUCUUAGAACGACAAAGAAAUAGAUACUUUUUCAGUCAAGCAUGUGCUUUGAUGCAUCCACCAAUGAUGGAACUGAUUCCAAUGCGUGAAUAAACUUAGUUUAUCUCUUAAGCCAAAAGCCACUAAGCUGUGCGUUAAACAGUAAGUAAGUACGUAAAAAGGAAUAAAAGUCGUCCAUAAAAAUGAAAA